rnacentral:rRNA from 37 species
GCGGCGGACGGGUGAGUAACACGUGGGCAACCUGCCUGCAAGACGGGGAUAACUCCGGGAAACCGGGGCUAAUACCGGAUAAUAUCUUUCUUCGCAUGAAGGAAGGUUGAAAGGCGGCGCAAGCUGCCGCUUGCAGAUGGGCCCGCGGCGCAUUAGCUAGUUGGUGAGGCAACGGCUCACCAAGGCGACGAUGCGUAGCCGACCUGAGAGGGUGAUCGGCCACACUGGGACUGAGACACGGCCCAGACUCCUACGGGAGGCAGCAGUAGGGAAUCUUCCGCAAUGGACGAAAGUCUGACGGAGCAACGCCGCGUGAGCGAAGAAGGUCUUCGGAUCGUAAAGCUCUGUUGUCAGGGAAGAACAAGUACCGUUCGAAUAGGGCGGUGCCUUGACGGUACCUGACCAGAAAGCCACGGCUAACUACGUGCCAGCAGCCGCGGUAAUAC